CCCCAUAUGGCCUUGUACGCGCGUAUGUAUGUAUGUAUAUGAUGUGUAUGAUAACAGACAACGUUUGUGCCUUAAUCUCUUCCAAAAGAUCAAUUCAAACGGCGAUAAUAAACUCAAUCCGCUCAUACCUAAUUCUAAAGGCUCAGCGAACAUGGUCGGCCACUUCGUAACUCUGAUAGUCUUUCAAUUUUUAAAUGUAGUACGGACCGAUUUAAGCGCAGUUUUUUCCCAGCGCUAACUCAAUAUUCUAACAAUAUCUAGUCAAUUAUAAUAGACGUUUAUAACUUGCCUUAAUAUUUAAUGUAUGUAAGACAAAUAGUAUAUAUACAAAUAGUCAAUAUUCUAACAAUAUCUAUAGUCAACUAUAAUAGUUCAUAACUUGUCUUAAAAUUUUAAUGUAUGUAGGACAAAUAGCGGUAUACUUAAAGUAUCCUAUUAUGUAAAUAUAAAGUAUUUCACCUUGGUGCAAUUUUAUAUAGUUUUCUGAAUUGCCGUUGUUUUGUAUUUUGUA
rnacentral:lncRNA from 1 species